rnacentral:sRNA from 1 species
AUGACGUUAGGAUAAUAGUGGAAAUCCUUUUAUACUAUAGAGCGAAAUCGAAGUGAUAUAAAAGAUUGAAACGAACAUCCCGAUUCGCU